rnacentral:lncRNA from 7 species
UCACCUACAGUCGACUGAGGCACGGUGAUGCCCGACCACGGAGAGGAGCGGCUUGGCAGCGAUGAAGCGCUCCGGUGAGCAAUUCACUCCGAUUCGAAUGCGCACAGCUUGAUUCGAGGGCACGAACGGUUUUCCCAGGCGCUGGCGAAUCCCACACGACCCUGCGCCGAGGACAGAACACCGGCACGGAGGGUUUCCACCGGCGACGUGACCUCCGGUCACUGGAUUCGCGGCGCGGCACUCUUUCUUCACCGGGCGCAGGCGGCGCAAGGUUUUCACGGGAUGAUUAGGUCAGACAUGGGAACGAGGUCAUGGUGGCUCGGCCUUUAUGGUCGUGAGGUCAUGCGUCGUGUUUGAGCAACGGGCUCCGAGUUCCACGGGGUGAUUCCGCCAUGGACGGC